rnacentral:misc_RNA from 1 species
UCUCCGUUAUCCGGAGCAGUCCUCUUAGAGUUCCCCCUUGCGGGUGGCAACUAAGAAUAAGGGUUGCGCUCGUUGCGGGACUUAACCCAACACCUCACGGCACGAGCUGACGACAGCCAUGCAGCACCUCGACUCCCGUCCCUUGCGGGAAAUCCCUGUUUCCAAGGACGUUCGUGAGCCGUUCGAGCCCAGGUAAGGUUCUUCGCGUUGCGUCGAAUUAAUCCACAUCAUCCACCGCUUGUGCGGGUCCCCGUCAAUUCCUUUGAGUUUUAAUCUUGCGACCGUACUCCCCAGGCGGUCAACUUCACGCGUUAGCUGCGGUACUGAGAAAUCGCUUCCCCAACACCUAGUCGACAUCGUUUACGGCGUGGACUAC